rnacentral:rRNA from 1 species
AGCGAACGCUGGCGGCAGGCUUAACACAUGCAAGUCGAGCGGGCCUUUCGGGGUCAGCGGCAGACGGGUGAGUAACGCGUGGGAACGUACCUUCUGGUCUGGAAUAACCCUGGGAAACUAGGGCUAAUACCGGAUACGCCCUUUUGGGGAAAGGUUUACUGCCGGAAGAUCGGCCCGCGUCUGAUUAGCUAGUUGGUGGGGUAACGGCCUACCAAGGCGACGAUCAGUAGCUGGUCUGAGAGGAUGAUCAGCCACACUGGGACUGAGACACGGCCCAGACUCCUACGGGAGGCAGCAGUGGGGAAUAUUGGACAAUGGGCGCAAGCCUGAUCCAGCCAUGCCGCGUGAGUGAUGAAGGCCUUAGGGUUGUAAAGCUCUUUUAUCCGGGACGAUAAUGACGGUACCGGAGGAAUAAGCCCCGGCUAACUUCGUGCCAGCCGCCGCAGUAA